AGAUUCGGAUGAUGGAUCCUGGAAUGACAGUGCUAAAGAUUCAGAUAAUGAAUAACGAACCGGAUAAAAGAUUUGAGUUAAUGCAAAUGAUAAGUUGCUGGUGGAGCUCGGCCAAAUUUGCAGAGAUUAGAUUGCUCACCCAUGGACAGUACCAAACAAUUCGAACCUGUAUGUAGUGAUGUUAUCUACUCAGUUUCCCGUGGAAAUGCCACGUCUGUGGGUUAGAUUUGGUUGGUUAAGAACUAUUACGAUGUCUGGCUUCUGCACACUUGGAACCUGGAGGCCUUCCUAGACGGCUCAAUUUUACUCCCUUUUUUGCAGUACAAUAUGCCGGCCCAAGGAGCCUGCAAACCCUGUAUUGUAGGGUCUGUUGGUGUUGAGUGCAGCAGCUUGAUCUCUUGAGGCU